UGGCUCCUUGGCCGUAAGCCCAAGGAGAUCGCCCCGCACAUCUAUGAGGCCUCCAGGAGGAAGAAUUGGAAGGUCAGGGAGGCUGUUAGAGAGGACGUUUGGAUCUUCAAAAUCAGCUAUAACAACGUCGUCACCGGAGACCACAUUCGAGAGUUUUUCACUCUUUGGAUGCUUUUGGAUGACGUCCAUCUUGAGGAGCAUCGGGAGGACGACAUCACCUGGAAGCAUUCCAAUGAUGGGAUGUACUCGGCAGCCAGUGCUUAUAAAGCGCAGUUUCUUGGCUUAACCUUGUCCCCAAUGGAUCGCAUGGUUUGGAAAGUUUGGGCUCCUCCGAAGAUCAAAUUCUUUGCUUGGUUGGCUAUUCAAGAUAGGAUCUGGACUGCGGACCGCCUGGAGAGGCGCGGGUGGGCCAACUGCGGUAUGUGCCCUCUUUGCUCUAGGGAGCAGGAAACGGGUGCUCAUCUUCUCUUCAAGUGUCGCUUCACUAUUCGGCUUUGGAGGUCUCUCGCGGCCAAGCUUGGCCUUCAUCACAUU
rnacentral:rRNA from 1 species